GAAAUCAAACAUAACCAUGUCUCCAUAUUCCGUCACAGCUUCCUUAACCUUUUUAAUCAAAACCUAAUCUGAAUUUAUAACAAUUAUCCCCAAAUUCAAAACAUCCCACCAUUCUUGAACAAAAAAAAAAAACAGAUGAAAAACGGAAGAGUUAGAUUACAGACUACACCAUUGAAACUCCAUCCUCAUCGUAUCAGAAUCAGAUCAACUCUUCUUUCUCUACUCCGGUCGAAUCGUUUUCCAUUAACACCAUAUCUAAUUUUCCGGCAUACCAAUUCAGGUCAAAUACGACCAAAUCCUUACUGAUUCGACAACGCUUUGUUGUUGCUGCUUGAAGCUAACAGCACCUAUCAAUCCAACAUCAACUUCACCAUUAAUCAACACCAAAACUUCAAUUAACCCCUGAAAUCAAAUUCCACCAUUGUUAGUAAAAAAAUCAUACUUCAAAACUUCAUUAAUAAAUCCGGUAAAACAAUUAAACCAAACUUUGACUCAAUUAAUUUCAUAUCGCAUCCAUCUAAUUCAUACUGCAACCGUCUAAUUCAUCUGGAAGAAGAAGAAACGAUGAGUUUGGAGAUGAUUCUAGUGUUUUGCCAAACACAACUAGGAAGCUCAUUGAUGCUGUAAGGCGGCGGAAAGUCCUUCAAGUUAAAUGCACGCUGCUACAGUAAAUCCUCCAUAUUUCUCACAACUUCUGAAUAUGGAGAUGAUGCGAUAUUCGACCCUGAGGAAUCCUGAUUGGACGGAAAGGCUGAAAGAAUGACCAUACCGGCAGAAACACUUGAUGGCAAGUAGCACAGCAGGUCAGGGUCUAUGAAAGACAAAACUGCAAGAUACUUGGCCCUGUCCUCCAUUUCCUCAGCCACAAUGUCUGCUUUCAGUUAGAAUCUAGAAAAACUAAUAUUCGCAGAACUGACAAUGAGACGAGGGACUAUAACUUAUUGGUCAGGGAUAGGCCAGGCUGUGGGUGCAGAUGGGUUCAGGCUCACAAGUACAUUGAAGGAUAUAAACUAGAGACAGGAGGGGAAGGAAACAAUACCCCAUAACCACUCCACGGCAACAACUUGACACCUGCUCUGCUGGUUCCCAAUCUGGAAAGUCUUUUUGCCUUAUGCUGCACAUAUUUUUAUAGAGAAACAUAUCAAUUGUUUGCAGUCAGUGUAAGCUAUAAUCCGUUUCAUGUGUAUAAUAGGUGUUCACGUGACCAAGUAUUAAUCCAUGCCAAAAAGGGUGAGAUUUUCUUUGA